CCGGUCUUUCAUUUAUUAUAUGAACAUUUUAUUUCUACAUUAUGAGUCUUCCAAUUCGCAGUUAUGUGAUGGGAAUCGAUGCUGUAAUGGUUUUAUCUGGAACGAUACAUUGAAUGCAUGUAUAAAAUGUAGGGGUGGUUAUUAUGGGAUUCAUUGCAAUAUUUCCUGUCGCCCACCGACGUUUGGCUGGUAUUGUCUUUCAACAUGCAGUUGUAUAGAAGA